CAGUAGCCGCGGUAAUACGUAGGUCCCGAGCGUUGUCCAGAUUUAUUGGGCGUAGAGCGAGCGCAGGCGGUUAGAUAAGUCUGAAGUUAAAGGCUGUGGCUUAACCAUAGUACGCUUUGGAAACUGUUUAACUUGAGUGCAAGAGGGGAGAGUGGAAUUCCACGUGUAGCGGUGAAGUGCGCAGAUAUAUGGAGGAACACCGGUGGCGAAAGCGGCUCUCUGGUCUGUAACUGACGCUGAGGCUCGAAAGCGUGGGGAGCGAACAGGAUUAGAUACCCCCGUAGUCCCUGUCUCUUAUACA
rnacentral:rRNA from 1 species